GGGCGCAGCCUGAUCCAGCAUACCGCGUGUGUGAAGAAGGCCUGAGGGUUGUAAAGCACUUUCAACAGGGAGGAAAACCUGCCGGCUAAUACCCGGCAGCCUGACAUUACCGAUAGAAAAAGCACCGGCUAACUCCCUGCCAGCCGCCCCGGUAAUUACGGAGGGUGCAAGCGUUAAUCGGAAUUACUGGGCGUAAAGCGUGCGUAGGCGGCCGUUUAAGUCAGAUGUGAAAGCCCCGGGCUUAACCU
rnacentral:rRNA from 1 species